GUAGGGAAUCUUCCACAAUGGACGAAAGUCUGAUGGAGCAACGCCGCGUGAGUGAAGAAGGUCUUCGGAUCGUAAAACUCUGUUGUUAGAGAAGAACGUGCAUGAUAGUAACUGAUCAUGUAAUGACGGUAUCUAACCAGAAAGCCACGGCUAACUACGUGCCAGCAGCCGCGGUAAUACGUAGGUGGCAAGCGUUGUCCGGAUUUAUUGGGCGUAAAGGGAACGCAGGCGGUUUUUUAAGUCUGAUGUGAAAGCCUUCGGCUUAACCGAAGAAUAGCAUUGGAAACUGGAAGACUUGAGUGCAGAAGAGGAGAGUGGAAUUCCAUGUGUAGCGGUGAAAUGCGUAGAUAUCGGGAGGAACACCAGUGGCGAAGGCGGGUUCCUGGCCCAUGACUGACGCUGAGGUGCGAAAGCCGGGGGAGCGAACGGGAUUAGAUACCCGGGUAGUCC
rnacentral:rRNA from 1 species